rnacentral:pre_miRNA from 1 species
CAAGUACUCCAUCCGUCCGGAAUUACUUUUCAUCAAAAUGGAUGUGUCUAGAGCUAAAAUACAUCUAGAUACAUCCAUUUCAAUGACAAGUAUUUUCGGACAGAGGGAGUACAAG